UACGUAGGGGGCAAGCGUUGUCCGGAUUUAUUGGGCGUAAAGAGCGUGUAGGCGGCCUGACAGGUCUGCUGUGAAAACUCGAGGCUCAACCUCGAGACGCCGAUGGAAACCAUCUGACUAGAGUCCGGAAGAGGAGAGUGGAAUUCCUGGUGUAGCGGUGAAAUGCGCAGAUAUCAGGAAGAACACCCGUGGCUAAGGCGGCUCUCUGGCCCGUUACUGACGCUGAUGCGCGAAAGCUAGGGGAGCAAACGGG
rnacentral:rRNA from 1 species